rnacentral:tRNA from 1 species
UGCUCGAUAGUAUAGAGGUGGAUAUCUCCGCCUGUCACGUGAAAGACCCGGGUUCGACUCCCGGCCGAGGAG